rnacentral:tRNA from 1 species
AAGAAAGUGGCAGAAUGGGGAUGCGGCUGGCUUGAAACCAGCCCAUGGGGGUUCGAUUCCUCCCUUUCUCG